AUGCUUGAAUUUUUCAAAGCAGUAUUUGUAAGGCUUCAGGGUCCAGAGCUAGAAGUGACUCUGCAGCACAAGGCUGGAAGAAAUCCAGGCUCAGGACCGCCUUCCCUUUCCUUCCCAGAGCCGCCCACCGACUGUUUGACAGGCACAAACUGGAGUUCUUUCCACACGGCGUGGCAGGGCCACGAAGAAGCCGCUCCUGGGUUUCUAGAAAUCGUUAGCACCAGUUGCAACACCCUAGCAAAUAAUUGCUGGUGCCAGGACCUUGAUACCCCAGCCAUGCAGAGUGGAGACGUAGACCCAUCCAUUGCUGUUAAUCUCCACAUUAUCAGCAUGACUUCUCUGGGUCUUGUUAACCCCUGCACCCUCCCCUUCAGGCAGCACCCCAUCUCCACUCCUUCUGGAAUCUCCACCUGGCUCAGCCCACCUGCCUCGACUCCUGCCUCCACCACGUCCAUCAGAGUGACCCAGAAAUCCUACAAGGUGUCCACCUUUGGCCCCCCGGCCUUCAGCAGCCACUCUUACAUGAGUGGGCCUGAUGUCUACCUCAGCUCCUUGAGUUUCUCCUGAGUGGGCAGCAGCAACCUUCGGGGUGGCCUGGGUGGAGGCUAUGGUGGGGCCAGUGGCAUGAGAGGCAUCACUGCUGUCAUAGUCAACCAGAGCCUGCUGAGCCUUCUUAACCUGGAGGUGGACCCCAACAUUCAGGCUGUGUGCACUGAGGAGAAGGAGCAGAUCAAGACCCUCAACAACAAGUUUGCCUCCUUCAUCUAGAGGGUAAGGUUCCUGGAGCAGCAGAACAAGAUGCUGGAGGCCAAGUGGAGCCUCCUGCAGCAGCAGAAGACGACUCAGAGCAACAUGGACAACAAGUUCGAGAGCGACGUCAACAACCUUAGGCAGCAGCUAGAGACUCUGGGCCAGGAGGAGUUGAAGCUGGAGGCGGAGCUUGGCAACAUGCAGGGGCUGGUGGAGGACUUCAAGAACAAGUAGGAGGAUGGGAUCAGUAAGCAUACAGAGAUGGAGAAUGAAUUUGUCCUCAUCAAGAAGGAGGUUGAUGAAGCUUACAUGAACAAGGUACAGGUGAGUCUCUCCUGGAAGGGCUGACUGACGAGAUCAACUUCCUCAGGCAGCUGUAUGAAGAGGAGAUCCGGGAGCUGCAGUCCCAGAUCUCCAACGUGUCUGUGGUGCUGUCCAUGGACAACAGCGGCUCUCUGGACGUGGACAGCAUCAUCGCUGAGGUCAAGGCGCAGUACGAGGAGAUUGCCAACCGCAGCUGGGCUGAGACUGAGAGCAUGUACCAGAUCAAGUAUGAGGAGCUGCAGACCCUGGCUGGGAAGCACGGGGAUGAUCUGCGGCGCAGGAAGACUGAGAUCUCCGAGAUGAACCGGAACAUCAGCCAGCUCCAGGCUGAGAUUGAGGGCCUCAAAAAGGCCAGAGGGCUUUCCUGGAGGCUGCCAUCGCAGAUGCUAAGCAGCGCCCUUAAGGAUGCCAACGCCAAGUUGUCCGAGCUGGAGGCCGCCCUGCAGCGGGCUAAGCAGGAUGUGGCGCUGCAGGUGCAUAAGUACCAGGAGCUAAUGAAUGUCAAGCUGGCCCUGGACGUAGAGAUCGCCACCUACAGGAAGCUGCUGGAGGGCGAGGAGAGACGGCUGGAGUCUGGAAUACAGAACGUGAGUGUCCAUAUGAAGACCGCCAGUGGCUAUGCUGGUGGGCUGAGCACGGCCUAUGGCGGCCUCACAAGCUCCAGCCUCAGCUACGGCCUGGGCUCCAGCUUUGGCUCUGGCGCGGGUUCCAGCUGCUUCAGCCGCACCAGCUCCACCGGGGCCGUGGUUGUGAAGAAGAUUGAGAACAGUGAUGGGAAGCCGGAGUCCCAGUCCUCUGACAUCCUGCCCAAGUGAACAACUGCGGCAGCCCCUCCCAGUCUGCCUCUUCUGGCUGCCCCAGAGCCCGGGAGGGAAGCUGCUGUCCAGGGGAGCACAGGGUACAGG